AACGAACGCUGGCGGCAUGCCUAACACAUGCAAGUCGAACGAGACCUUCGGGUCUAUUGUCGCCCGGGUUCGUAACGCGUGGGAACCUUCCCUUAGGUUCGGCCUACCUCCCCGACAGGGGUGCUUAUACCGGAUCAUGUCUUCGGCCCAAAGAUUUAUCGCCUUUGGUUGGGCCCGCGUUGGAUUAGCUUUUUGGUAGGGUAAAAGCAUACCAAGGCGACGAUCCAUAGCUGGUCUGAGAGGAUGAUCAGCCACACUGGGACUGAGACACGGCCAAGAAUCCUACGGGAAGCAGCAGUGGGGAAUAGUGGAAAAGGGGCGAAAGCCUGAUCCAGCAAUGCCGCGUGAGUGAUGAAGGCCUUAGGGUUGUAAAGCUCUUUUACCCGGGAUGAUAAUGACAGUACCGGGAGAAUAAGCUCCGGCUAACUCCGUG
rnacentral:rRNA from 1 species